rnacentral:lncRNA from 1 species
GGUGUUGUACUGGGAAGUGGGUUCACGAGCCUCAAGGUGUUGUGCUAGCCGGAACAACCAAUCUGGAGAGGAUGUUGUGGAUUGAUUAGAGUACUAACCAAUCUGGAGCAUCUCGUGCUGAUUCAGGGUUGGAGGAGUCGCCUGCCCGGCCGGCAGCUUCAGGUCCGUGGGGCGAUGGAUUGGCGGCCGAGGGUGCAUCUGCCUCUCUGCUGGGCACGGACAUGGAGCUGCAACUAAUUAAGAGAAUCAAUCUAUGAUUGCUUGAUCAGUUUGUUCGCUUGGUAUAGCAACGAAGGGAGAAAAAAAAGGAAAGAAUUGCAAAUUUGCCACAGGGGUAGGAAAGUCAUUUCACGUGGUGAAAAUAGAGAUAAAAAGCCAAAAAUUAUUACAG